GGAUGAGCCCGCGGCCUAUCAGCGGGUUGGUGGGGUAAUGGCCUACCAAGGCGACGACGGGUAGCCGGCCUGAGAGGGUGACCGGCCACACUGGGACUGAGACACGGCCCAGACUCCUACGGGAGGCAGCAGUGGGGAAUAUUGCACGAUGGGCGAAAGCCUGAUGCAGCAACGCCGCGUGAGGGACGACGGCCUUCGGGUUGUAAACCUCUUUCAGCAGGGACGAAGCGUGAGUGACGGUACCUGCAGAAGAAGCACCGACUAACUACGUGCCAGCAGCCGCGG
rnacentral:rRNA from 1 species